rnacentral:antisense_RNA from 1 species
CCAACGACCAAAGCAAAGGACAGCAGAACUGACUGACACAUUGCUCAGAAAAUAUCCAAAGCUCUGUAUGCUCUGGAAAGGAAGGCAAGAAAUACUAAAGACUCUGGAUAUUGCUCUGUUUCUAUAAGGUCCCACCCAUAUACCAUCUCUUCUUUUGGAUUUCCUUUGGCAGGGUUCCCUUGUAUGGAAGUUCUCAGGAGAACAACACUCUCAGAGUCCCAUUGUCUCAAAGAAUUCUUAAUGGACAGCUAUACUUGGCCCCAAGGUUUCAACCUCAGACUGAAGAAAGUGACAUAAGAAAACACAAGUCCCAGUGCUAUCAGGGGCUAUCUGGAAAAGCUGCUUAAACAGCAAGUGAAAGAAGGCUCUCCCCUACCCCGUUCUAGAUGGAGUCUCGCUCUGUCACCCAGGCUGGAGUGCAAUGGCACGAUCUCAGCUCACUGCAACCUCCGCCUCCCAGGUUGAAGCGAUUCUCCUGCCUCAGCUUCCUGAGUAGCUGGGAUUACAGACUCACCCUGAAGUUAUUUGAAGGAUCCUUGAGACUCUUUUGGAUUGCUGCUUGGAGAACAUUCCUGUAACUUGUCCCUGCUCCUUGAACUAUAAAAGCAGAAGGGAGGUACUGAGUUAAAACUUAUAAAUUAUUAUCAAAUAAAUCUUCAAUAGUGGUUCAGU